UUUUUUCCCUUUGGAGAGAAAAUAUCCAGUGUGCUGGUGUUGGAUACUUGGCUGUCUCCAUCGGAGAAGAAGAAGUGUCUCCUCUCUUCAUAUGGAAGAACAGCUCACAACUGCUAUGGAGGCAUCAUACCAAAAUAGCUGCUUCUGGAGGGGCCUUAUUACAUUUUGACAGGCGUCUGACAUGAGAUGCUGUCACUGCUGAGAUUUUCACCUUGGUCUGCCACCUCCAAUUUCCUUGCCUAGGACCUGAGAGACAAUAAAUGGGAUUUGAACGCUGAUUGAAACCUUACUUUUACCCUGUUUUAAUUGUCAAUUGCAUGAGAUGUACUGGUGUGCUACAGUUAGCAUGGCAGGUAUUAUUUGCUUGCCAGACCUGGCUUGGUAAAUUAAUCUACCACUCCAGCUGAAAGUCAUCAAGGGGAGAAAAUGGAAUAUUAUCUUCUCUUUUUUUCAACAAACAGAAACAAAAAAGCCA